UUUUUAUGGAGAUGAGGCGAGGGACUGGCCCGAAGACCCUCAGCCAACCUCUUCCGCCAGGAAGGAAGGUGGCAAAGCCAGAGUCAGGAGCAACCUGACGACGAUAAGCG
rnacentral:ncRNA from 2 species